AAAAAAUUGGUAAAAAUAUUUCUUCAAAUUUCACUUUUUUAGUGAAAGAGAAUUUUGAAAGUAUUAAGGUGGAAAAUUGUUCAAAAGAGGAGAUAAUUAAGGAGGAGAAAAGUGGAUUAUUAUCUAUAAUUUCAACAAAUUGGGGUGAUUUGGGAGCUAAUAAAGUAAGAUUUACUGAAGGAAAUGAGGCUAUUCAUAUUUCAUGUUGGAUUAUUAAUGGAGAAAAUAAUCAAGAUCUUGUGAUGAUUAGUCCAACUAAUGAUGAAGACAACUCUGAACUAAACAUUAUAAUUACAAUCUCUAAUUAGAUUCUUGAAAAUUAAGGUCGAUGAAAAAUUUAAAUUGUAUUGAUUUUUU
rnacentral:misc_RNA from 1 species